GAUGAACGCUGGCGGCGUGCCUAACACAUGCAAGUCGAACGGAGUCCAGCCUUUAAGACCUUCGGGUCAAAGAGGGGAAGACUGAGUGGCGGACGGGUGAGUAACACGUGGGCAACCUGGCUCAUAGAGGGGGAUAACAGAGAGAAAUUUCUGCUAAUACCGCAUAAGCACACACUGCCGCAUGGCAGAGGGUGAAAAGAGAAUCGCUAUGAGAUGGACCCGCGUCUGAUUAGCCAGUUGGCAGGGUAAGAGCCUACCAAAGCGACGAUCAGUAGCCGAUCUGAGAGAAUGAACGGCCACAUUGGGACUGAGACACGGCCCAAACUCCUACGGGAGGCAGCAGAGGGGGAUAUUGCACAAUGGGGGGAACCCUGAUGCAGCGACGCCGCGUGAGUGAAGAAGUAUUUCAGUAUGUAAAGCUCUAUCAGCAGGGAAGAUAAUGACAGUACCUGAAUAAGAAGCCCCGGCUAACUACGUG
rnacentral:rRNA from 1 species